UUAUUUUUAUUAUGGGGGGGAGGCUUAAUUAGCUGUGUAGGAGGAAUCUUGUGAUUAGCCAACACUAAUACAGCAAAAUAGCUUUUAUCUUUUAAAGCACAGGGAA